UCCUGGUUAGCUCAGUCGGUGAAGCGCUCCAGUGGAAAUGGAGAGGUUCCUGGUUUGAUACCAGAACCAGGCG
rnacentral:tRNA from 1 species